GGUGUAUACACCAGAUAUUUCCUCAGCACGCUGCCUGGAGAAGGAAAUGGGAAUUUAAAAAUGAAACCUUCCAUUUUACAAAAUUGAUAUAGACCACCCAGUAAACUCAGUGCACUGGAUAUGGAUGAUUGGAGUAAUACUUGACUGGAAUUUCCCCUGCUUCUUCCUAUAAUGUUUUUAGUGACACUGAAGAGACUUGGGACUUGAAGGGUUUAAAUGCUGCAAAUAAGUGAUUCAGUCUGGGGGUCAACAAGUACCCAAAGAUGCUGCAGUCAAGCAGAAGUGAAGACAGUCACUUGUGAGGAAUAUGGAAGCUGAGCAGUAAGUGGAGGUGUG